CCUACGGGUGGCAGCAGUGAGGAAUAUUGGUCAAUGGACGAAAGUCUGAUCCAGCCAAGUCGCGUGAGGGAUGACUGCCCUCUGGGUUGUAAACUUCUUUUAUAUGGGAAUAAAACAGGGUAUGCAUACCCUCUUGUAUGUACCAUAUGAAUAAGGAUCGGCUAACUCCGUGCCAGCAGCCGCGGUAAUACGGAGGAUCCGAGCGUUAGCCGGUUUUAUUGGGUUUAAAGGGAGCGUAGGUGGAUUGUUAAGUCAGUUGUGAAAGUUUGCGGCUCAACCGUACAAUUGCAGUUGAAACUGGCAGUCUUGAGUACAGGAGAGGUGGGUGGAAUUCGUGGUGUAGCGGUGAAAUGCGUAGAGAUUACGAAGAACUCCGAUGGCGAAGGCAGCUCACUGGACUGUAACUGACACUGAUGCUCGAAAGUGUGGGUAGCAAACAGGAUUAGAUACCCGUGUAGUC
rnacentral:rRNA from 1 species